rnacentral:sRNA from 1 species
GUUUUUUUUUGGUUUUCCUGAGGACAUUAGUUUUUUUAAAUACUUGAA